GGUAAAAAAGUUAGUCAAACCACUGGAGGUGGUGCAAGUAAUAAAAUGGGCAAGGUUCCUGCAUUUUGAUGGAAGAGUGCGAAUAAAGAAGUUAGUCUAGGAGAAUAGGGUUGGAACAUAUAAUCGUUGAUUGGAAAGUCAAUGGAGCUCGUGGAUACUAUGAAGAGGAGGGUUUACAUAGCUUGUUUUAAAGAAACUAAUUGGACGGGGUGAGAAAAGCUAGAGAUUGGUAACACCAGUUAUAAAUUGUGGUACUCUGGGUUGAGAAGAAUAGAAAUGGGGUAGGAGUCAUGGUAGAACCAUGACUCAAAUCAUAUGGUGGAAGUGAAGAGAAUUAGUGAUAGAAUUAUCUCCUUGAAAUUAGCAUUGGAAAA
rnacentral:misc_RNA from 1 species